UACGUAGGGGGCAAGCGUUGUCCGGAUUUACUGGGCGUAAAGAGCGUGUAGGCGGCCAAACAGGUCCGUUGUGAAAACUGGAGGCUCAACCUCCAGACGCCGAUGGAAACCAUCUGGCUAGAGUCCGGAAGAGGAGAGUGGAAUUCCCGGUGUAGCGGUGAAAUGCGCAGAUAUCGGGAAGAACACCCGUGGCUAAGGCGGCUCUCUAGUACGGUACUGACGCUGAGACGCGAAAGCGUGGGGAGCGAACAGG
rnacentral:rRNA from 1 species